rnacentral:misc_RNA from 1 species
CUAAAUACACUCUUUCUGACAAAAUUUGCCCUUAUCUUGCCAACCAUGGCGAUGUACACGCAGCCUCGGACUGAAGACCCACAACCACUCUUAGUCUUGGUACUGCUCCACUCCACUCUUUCUCAAUGUCACCUUACGUCGCUGGAUGCUUGAGUAGCCACGUGUAACAGCCAAUCCCAAUCUAGCUUAUGCCAUCUAUUUGCCUUAAUAUGCACCAAUCUAUGCUUUGAGGCAUCUAAAGGUCCUGCUGUCAACACUAGCAUCCAACACAGGCUUGAAUUAUUUGACUUUCUGCAAGAAAAUGAUGGUAGGAUAUGGGGAAAAGAAUCUAUUCGGCCAAAACCCCUCUCAUUCUUUGCCCACUAUUUUAGUUGUCUUGGUUUCUAGUUCUCUAAUCAAAUCCUUUACAUAAGAAAAUUUUCUGGGUGUUUGUAGGAUUGUGUUGAUUUGAUUUCUUGAUUCUUGUUUGGUUUGG